UGUCCGCCUCCCGACGACUCCUUCCCCAAAGACGGUGCCCAGGCACAGGGGUCUUGGGCUUUACAGGACGGAAAAGAGAAUUCCUGAGGGGCAGAGAUUUCAUAUGCAGAAAAGCAGGUGCAAGUUAUUUUGGUAAAAGUGAGCAAGAGGCUGAAGUGAUGUGUCAACACCUUCAUGGCAGCAGCGGUGUGUGACCACAAGGCCACAUUCUAGAGGAGGGGCCUGUAUAGGCGAAGAAUUCAGAGUGGGAGUCCCUGGAGCUGGCAUCGGCCACAAUGCCCUGGCAUUUCGAGUCACAGAUCUAAAGCUGCAGGACACGACUGUAUGGAUGAUGGAUGGAACAACUGUCAUCCUCCGCUGACCUCAGCUAAGUCGUUUAUUGACCUCUCAACUGUUCUCUAAGAAACAACUGUGGUGGGGUUGAGGACUUGAAAACCAAAGGCGUGACACACCUCUUGACCUUGACCAUUAAACAUUGUGUGGAGUUGCUUACCCAGUAACUAAGUCGUUCACAGCUUGUCUACUAUCCUUCAUGGGAUUUGUAGAAAGGUCAGUCCUAGAUGUCAUGAAGCCCCAGAGGAAGAGGUGAUUUCCCAGCAUUCUCUCUGGUCUGAAUGCUGACUGUGCAAUCUGUGAGGCCCUAAGCAUUAGGCUCAGACAAACAUUAUUUACGUUCAGCAAGAGAACCAUUCCCCAUUGUCUGCUUUUUUUCUGACACACAUAAAACUGUACAUUUAACUUCUGUUUACAUAUAUAUAAACCAUAUCGUUAGGAGUAGCCUGGGAAAUGCUUGGUUGGAGAUGAAUUUUGCCCUUUGAAAACACAGGAGUGAGUGACAGCUGUAUAUUGUCUUAUCAGAGGCGUGACACAUGUGGUUUAUUGGGACCAGGUGUUUCACAGAAGCCAUUGGAGUGAAACUAUAAACUUCUGGUUGACAAGUAAGGUGACAGCCCAGUUCUUUUUAGCAAAGGAUUGCUUGCCAAUAUUGGCCUUCAUGUGUGGAGCUAUUGAUGAAGCAAUUGAAAAUCUUCAGGUGCUCUGAGUAAGAAGCCAAGGGAGGCUAAAGAUAACAGUUUGUGAUGAACUUUGUGACAAGGUGAUGUGGACUUGACCCCUAAGUGGACUAGAACGGUGGGUAAGAGGGAGCAGAUCAAGAUUUUGAGUCAAAUUUGAUCAAGUUCAUUUUACAUUUGAUUCCUCACUGUUUACUUCAAGCCUAUAUCAACACUGGUAAUUUCCUAACUGGUAGUGUGUGACUUGGGCAGGUCACCCUCUUAACCUGUAUCCAGUGUAUACUGAGCCUGAA